rnacentral:rRNA from 1 species
UACGUGGGGUGCGAGCGUUAAUCGGAAUUACUGGGCGUAAAGCGUGCGCAGGCGGUGAUGUAAGACAGAUGUGAAAUCCCCGGGCUCAACCUGGGAACUGCAUUUGUGACUGCAUCGCUAGAGUACGGUAGAGGGGGAUGGAAUUCCGCGUGUAGCAGUGAAAUGCGUAGAUAUGCGGAGGAACACCGAUGGCGAAGGCAAUCCCCUGGACCUGUACUGACGCUCAUGCACGAAAGCGUGGGGAGCAAACAGG